rnacentral:rRNA from 1 species
GCUGGCGGCAGGCCUAACACAUGCAAGUCGAGCGCGCCUUCGGGUGAGCGGCGGACGGGUUAGUAACGCGUGGGAACGUGCCCUUUUCUACGGAAUAGCCUCUGGAAACGGAGAGUAAUACCGUAUACGCCCUUUGGGGGAAAGAUUUAUCGGAGAAGGAUCGGCCCGCGUUAGAUUAGGUAGUUGGUGGGGUAAUGGCCUACCAAGCCUACGAUCUAUAGCUGGUUUUAGAGGAUGAUCAGCAACACUGGGACUGAGACACGGCCCAGACUCCUACGGGAGGCAGCAGUGGGGAAUCUUAGACAAUGGGGGCAACCCUGAUCUAGCCAUGCCGCGUGAGUGAUGAAGGCCUUAGGGUCGUAAAGCUCUUUCGCCUGUGAUGAUAAUGACAGUAGCAGGUAAAGAAACCCCGGCUAACUCCGUGCCAGCAGCCGCGGUAAUACGGAGGGGGUUAGCGUUGUUCGGAAUUACUGGGCGUAAAGCGCGCGUAGGCGGAUUA